GAUGAACGCUGGCGGCGUGCCUAAUACAUGCAAGUCGAGCGAACGGACGAGAAGCUUGCUUCUCUGAUGUUAGCGGCGGACGGGUGAGUAACACGUGGAUAACCUACCUAUAAGACUGGGAGAACUUCGGGAAACCGGAGCUAAUACCGGAUGAUAUUUUGAACCGCAUGGUUCAAAAGUGAAAGACGGUCUUGCUGUCACUUAUAGAUGGAUCCGCGCUGCAUUAGCUAGUUGGUAAGGUAACGGCUUACCAAGGCAACGAUGCAUAGCCGACCUGAGAGGGUGAUCGGCCACACUGGAACUGAGACACGGUCCAGACUCCUACGGGAGGCAGCAGUAGGGAAUCUUCCGCAAUGGGCGCAAGCCUGACGGAGCAACGCCGCGUGAGUGAUGAAGGUCUUCGGAUCGUAAAACUCUGUUAUUAGGGAAGAACAUAUGUGUAAGUAACUGUGCACAUCUUGACGGUACCUAAUCAGAAAGCCACGGCUAACUACGUG
rnacentral:rRNA from 1 species